rnacentral:rRNA from 1 species
AACACAUGCAAGUCGAGGGGCAGCGGGGCAGACUUCGGUCUGCUGCCGGCGACCGGSGCACGGGUGAGUAAACACGUAUGCAACCUACCCUUUUCAGGGGGGAAUAAGCGGUGGAAACGCCGUCUAAUACCGCGUAUAUCCUCGAGGGGCAUCCCUUGAGGAAGAAAGGUUAGCGAUACCGGAGAAGGAUGGGCAUGCGGCGCAUUAGGUAGUUGGAGGUGUAACGGACCACCAAGCCGACGAUGCGUAGGGGUUCUGAGAGGAAGGUCCCCCACACUGGUACUGAGACACGGACCAGACUCCUACGGGAGGCAGCAGUGAGGAAUAUUGGUCAAUGGGCGCGAGCCUGAACCAGCCAAGUCGCGUGAAGGAAGACUGUACUUAGUAUUGUAAACUUCUUUUGUCAGGGAACAAAAGNGAANACGCGUCUUCGUAUGAGUGUACCUGAAGAAAAAGCAUCGGCUAACUCCGUGCCAGCAGCCGCGGUAAUACGGAGGAUGCGAGCGUUAUCCGGAUUUAUUGGGUUUAAAGGGUGCGCNGGCGGCGUGUCAAGUCAGCGGUAAAAUGUCGGGGCUCGACCCCGNCCGGCCGCUGAAACUGGCAUGCUUGAGUUGGAGAGAAGUAUGCGGAAUUCGUGGUGGUAGCGGUGAAAUGCAUAGAUAU